UACGUAGGGUGCAAGCGUUGUCCGGAAUUAUUGGGCGUAAAGAGCUCGUAGGCGGUUUGUCGCGUCUGCUGUGAAAUCCAGGGCUUAACCCUGGACCUGCAGUGGGUACGGGCAGACUAGAGUGCGGUAGGGGAGAUCGGAAUUCCUGGUGUAGCGGUGAAAUGCGCAGAUAUCAGGAGGAACACCGGUGGCGAAGGCGGAUCUCUGGGCCGUAACUGGACGCUGAGGAGCGAAAGCGUGGGGAGCGAACAGGA
rnacentral:rRNA from 1 species